UGCUGUGUCGAACAGAAAUACUACACUGAUGCUCCAGUUCACUACACCACGACCUACGCUACACCGCAGCCCCCAAGUACUACACCGAAGAAGCCGCCUACAACAACGUAUGCUGCCUAGUUUACUACACCGAGGCUCCCAAUUACUACAUCACUAAGGCACCGGAAUUCUGCACGUCUAUGUAUGCUACCCCUGCCUACUACACCGAGGCCCCGCAUUACUACAACACUGAAGCGCUCAAGUACUACACUACAACCUGCGCUUCCCCGAGCUACUACACCUACGUCCCGAAGUAUUACUGUGCGUAAAAGGAGUCUUCAAAAAAGAAAAGAAGUGCCCGAACUGCAGUGCCCUAUCUGUCACCAACUACUUUCCUCAUCGUGUAACCGAUUCGGAAUUAUGGUCAACUAUGACGUCGUGCUCCUGUUGGGUGUUGUAGCUAUCGUUGAUGGCUGAAUCGACUGCUGGUGUAGCGAUGUCUCCCUGGUAUGGCGGAAACCAAACCGCAACGCCGCCGCCUACCUAUUCAACUUACGAAACGACCAGUUCCUGCACCGAUGUCUUUAAAUACUACACCACCAAACCACGGGAGUUUUAUACCACAACUUACGCUGCCCCGAGUCACUACACUGAUGCCCUAAGUAUUACUCUGCCCCGAGUUACUACACCAUCUAGGUGACGGAUGACACAACACGACUACGUAUACUGCCUAUCCUACUACACCAAGGCUCCCAAAUGCUAUACCGAGGCUCCCACUGAUGUCUCCACCACCACGGUCGAAUACUACACUGAAGCGACAAAGUACUAUUCUGCCCCAAUCUACACAACCACAACUGAGGCGGCCAAGUAUUACGCAGUCCCGACUUGCUACUCCAAAGCUGAUCUUUCGUGCUGCGUCGAACAGAGAUACUACACUGAUGCUCCAAUCUACUACACCACGACUUACGCUACACCUAGCUACAACACCGCAGCCCCCAAGUACUGCACCGAAGAAGGCGUCCAUACGCAACUGCGUACGCUGCCUAGCUUACUACAUCGAGAAAUUUAAGUAUUACUCUGCUCCGAACUACUACCAAACU